rnacentral:rRNA from 1 species
GGGCUCAACUGUCUCCUUCUUUUAGUAAUGAAAUUGAUCUCCCCGUGGAGAAGCGGGGAUUCAUUCAUAAGACGAGAAGACCCUAUGAAGCUUUAGACAAUCGGACAUACCCUGUUAAUACACCCCCAUAAAAGGGCCAAAACCGACCCACCCAUGUCCCCGUCUUAGGUUGGGGCGACCCCGGGGAACAAAAACCCCCCACGUGGAAUAGUAGCAUCCGCUAUCCAUAACCGAUAGCCACGACUCCAAAAACCAGAACCUCUGACCACAAAUAUGACCCGGCAAUGCCGAUCAGCUAAACAAGUUACUCUUGGGAUAACAGCGCAAUCCCCUUUUUAGAGGCCGCAUCAACAAGGGGGUUUACGACCUCGAUGUUGGAUCAGGACAUCCUAAUGGUGCAGCCGCUAUUAAGGGUUCGUUUGUUCAACGAUUAAAGUCCUACGUGAUCUG